CCUACGGGUGGCAGCAGUGAGGAAUAUUGGUCAAUGGGCGAGAGCCUGACCCAGCCAAGUCGCGUGAAGGAUGACGGCCCUACGGGUUGUAAACUUCUUUUGUCAGGGAGCAAUUGGGUCCACGCGUGGGCUUAGCAAGAGUACCUGCAGAAAAAGCAUCGGCUAACUCCCUCCCAGCAGCCGCGGUAAUACGGAGGAUGCGAGCGUUAUUCGGAUUUAUUGGGUUUAAAGGGUGCGUAGGGGUAAUAUCAAGUCAGCGGUAAAAAUUCGGGGCCCACUCCCGUCGUGCCGUUGAAACUGAUGUUCUUGAGUGGGCGAGAAGUAUGCGGAAUGCGUGGUGUAGCGGUGAAAUGCAUAGAUAUCACGCAGAACUCCGAUGGCGAAGGCAGCAUACCGGCGCCCAACUGACGCUGAAGCACGAAAGCGUGGGUAUCGAACAGGAUUAGAUACCCCUGUAGUC
rnacentral:rRNA from 1 species